AUGCUUGUUGAAACAAAAAGGCAUCUUCUCUAUGGUUUGGUCUACUUUCUUAUCAAAUUGGUAUUGAUCGUACCGGUGGCCAUGAUGAGUAUUGAAACAUUAUUUUUGGCAAUGAAUCUGGUGAAUAACAAGUUCAGACAUAACAUGGGUGAUGAUCUCAUGAACUAUUAUUUAGUGACAUUUAUUGAGUGA
rnacentral:rRNA from 1 species